GCAAAGCACUUACACUGUGAUUUGUAACAGGUGCAGUGAAGUCUAAGGCAUGCCUGUGAUCAUCAAUAAAAACUGCACUUUGCAAGGCCAAACAGUCCCAACCUCCCGUCAUGUGCCAGAUCCUCCAAUCCUUUUACAGUUUUCAUUGCUUUUUGCUGAAGAAGUGUAUCCAUACUUCUGUUGUUCCAUGGGAAGCCCAGGACUAGAAAUGUGUCUCUACACCUUUCUAGUGCUGGGCAGAGAACAUUCACAUCCUUUGACCUCCCGGCAAUGCUCGGUAAAACGCUGACCAGGAAUUGAUCCAAGGAUGGAUCCCUGCUACUUCCUCUUGGACCUGUUCUUUACCAGGACUGCCAGGUUCUUUUCUCCAAAAAAAGCUGCUGGUCAGCCCCUAUCAUGUCCUAGUGCAUGGGUUUACUAUUCUUCAAGUGAAUUAACUUGUCUCGUUAUAGGUCUUCAUGAAGUUCUGGUGAGAGAAUGGCAGUGCAUCAGUUUGUGGACAGGACUGGACAAACCUUGGUAGCCUCUCCACAAAGUCCCAAAUCUGGGUCCCUGGCAAGGAGGAAACCUCCCUAAGCAGCAGAUCAGACUGGCAGCUGGAAGCCUUGGUACCUUGCAGCAGGGUGUCUCCUCUCUAUCACUUGUUUCUUCCUUGAGAUGCUGCUGCAUGGCUCAAGCUCAGUCAGGCUGGUUGCUCCAACAAAAGGGAAGGCUAUCAA